rnacentral:misc_RNA from 1 species
UUGAAGGGGGCCCCCGGGUCCAACCUUAAACCCUUUGACUUAAAACCCGUUUCUUUGGCGGCUUGCCGUCAGAAGUUUUCUCAAACCCAUUAUAAACAAACGUGUCGUCUGAAACAAUAUAAAUAAAAUA